rnacentral:rRNA from 1 species
CUCGACCUGAGCUCAAGCAAGACCACCCGCUGAACUUAAGCAUAUGGAUCCCCA